ACAUCUGGAGGCUUUUACACAGCCAUAGUUCACCGACUUCAGUUUUGGCUUCCAUUCUUCACCGACUUCCUUGCCUUCUUCUCUUUCGAUUCGAAGAUCAAUUUCCAUCUAAACUCAUCUCCGUCUGCUGCUCGCCUGGCCUUGGCCUCUGAUCAGGUGAUUUUAUCAUUAAGAUGCCAAUGUUGACUGCUCCAAGUACAAUUGUUAGCUCGCCUCUAUUGCCAACAGAUUUUGAAAUGAGGUAUUUCUUCCAUCAGUUUGUGUUUUCAUUGUUUACCGACUUCCUUGCCUUCGUCUUUUUCAUCGCUAUGAUCUUCCUCUUAUCUUCCAAGGUGCUCACUUUCCGACUCACUUGGGUUCUAUCAGGAAGGGGAUUGAAUCUCACAGAUUAGCUCAGCUGCACCCAGAAAACUAUCUGAGAAGAUAAUCUGCAGAGCAGGGGACUUGCAAUCUACUGAGAAAAAGUUGGGAGCUGCUUUUGGAGCCUCAUUUAUUUGGCCUGCGAGCUUGAUUUAAUUCUCCAGAUGCUGGGUUCGCUUCUAACCAGGUUGGUUGGCCUGGUUGCGGGGCAAUGAUGGAAGAGGUCGGUCUACUGUUGGAGAUUAUCUGGAGGCUUCGAUUUUUAUAGGAGUGGCGUGCGUUGGUCUUCUUCUUCAGAUCGAACUCCAGCUUUCUCUCUGUUUCAGUCUCUUUCUCUCACUGAUCUUUGCUAGGGACUGGAAUGGAUACGCAGGAUACAUCUCCUUCAGUGUUGCUAUUCUUUGACAAGGAAAGAUUUAUAUUUAAUGCUGGAGAGUAUGAAUCACAGUUAGGCAGUCAUCCAAUUGCUUCAGAUUCAAUUGUCUCUCACCUCUCUGACGUAUAAGCAAUCACUGAAGCAAAGAAGCGAAGAUAACUUUCAGGUGAGCUCGGGUACGAAAUUCAAAUACGAGAAGCAGUCGUUCGCCCAAAUUGUUUAACCAUUCUUCGCUUUAAAGAGUCAAGACCUCCAUCAAAGAGAAGAAAAGUCAUGAAGAAAUUGCAAAACAAAGCCCAACGAAUUAAACAACGUGCUGCUCAAAACUAUUCAAAUUUUGCUAUUUUAAUAGCUCCUUCCCACUAUUAACAUCUCAAUGUAUAUACAAACAUGUGUACUAUUUUAACAUAACAAGUAGCCUGUAAAAUAUGUGAUUUCCUUUUUUCCCACUUAUACUUCCUUAGUUAAGCAUAAUGCUACGAGUUAAAUCUUAUUGUAUAUAUAAACAAUUUUAUUUUGUCUACGUAAUUUCAAAACCCGCAGCAUCGCGCGGGCUUUAUUGCUA